UAACUACUCAGAUCUUGUAAUAUAAAAAAAAAAAAAAAAAAAAAAAAGAUGUCGUCCAAAAACUCCGCAGUCCCAUCCCGCAAGAUUACCAUGGACUUGGCUAAGGGCCCCAAAACCCUCAGGGAAAAGGUCCUAAAAAAUACGGCCAAAUCAGUGGUGUCCGAAAAGGCAGCGCGUCCAUCGACCACCGAACCGAUCAUGGUGGCAAAGGCAUGCUCAGAACCAGACAACAGAAUGAGCACACCACCACAGUCCACUGCAGCAACCACACCGGAGUUCCUCACCCCUGAAGACCGCACCCGGAUCUCCGAAAUUGUCAUCGACUGGGAGCAGUGCGGUAUCUCACCCCCCCGAAAGAUCGACUCGGAGGACGACAGCUCGGUGGCGUCUGUGGAGUCCCGGUCCACACAACCAGAGCAUGGGAGACCAAGCAUCCUCUACAGAACCCCGAGGCGGGGAACGGGGGUGGAGAUGGACUUGGCCACACAGGAGGCUAACACACUGCUGCAGAAAGGAAAAGCCGCACUUGAAGCGGCUGGAAACAUGAAGCGGGAGUGCAAAGCCAUCGCACACGAUUGCCUCCAAGGACUGUACGAGACGGCUCUGUCACUGGCAGACUCGAGGAGCCGCCACAAGUUCAACCUCGAAAAGGAGCGGUCAAGGCACGCAAAAGAACUUGUGCGGGUUGAGAGGGCUCAUACUCGAGAGCUAAUGAAAAUGACAAUGGAGCUCUCCCUGAUGCGAACAGACGUCUCGGAGACGAAGAAGGAGGCGAAGGGGAUCCGAGAAUGGCUGGGACAUGAAACCCUUGAGGCCUUCAACGGCAUAAAGGAGGUCAAAGAAGAAAUGAAGUCAGCGGGCCACCAAAACCAGAAGGAGCACGAGAGAACGAGGCGCGAGUAUCAAUCCACUCCGAGGGAUUCAAAACCGGAUUCGGCGGGGACAGGCAUAUCGCGUCUGGAGUCACAGUACACGUCCAUAUCGAAUCAAUUGGACGAGCUCCGGAAGGCACUGGGAAGGCUGAAGGAAGAUCUGGACCAGCCAUUAAUAUCCAACGAUACGCCACCGGAGCAGCAAAACCAGGGUGUGAUGAUGGAACUGCUGCUCACCACAAACGUGUUCCAGGAGGAGAUGGCCAAGCUGUCUAGGCAGCUUCAAGAUCUCUCCAAUAGGCCUCAGGCCUCUCCUCCUCGACCUCAACCCCAGAUCAACAUCAAAGAGGUGCUGGAACCUAUCUACGAGAGACUGGAGAUUGUCUCCUCUGACCUUCGCGUUCUCCGCGACAAAGAGCCACCAACCCAAGCGCCUGCAGCCUUAAACCUGGAGGCAGAACUCGCGGUCGGAGAGGUCAGAAAGACCCUCCACAACAUCGAGAAAGGAGUGGCGGACUUGGGCAGGGUGGAAAAACCACACGGACAAAACCAGGGUCCCAAAACCUUCGCCCAGGUCGCCAGCACACCCAAACCCAAACCCCCUCAGCCAAACCACACCCUCAUCGUCUCGUCAACGGACCCCAAGCACACAGGAGAUAACGUUAUCGAAAGGAUCAGAACAGCCCUGGACCUAAAGACAACUGGAGCCCGUGUCGACACAGUCCGGAAGGCGCGCAACCAAAAGGUGGUCCUGAGGUGCGCGUCGAAGUCCGACUUAAAACUAAUAAAGGACCAAGUACGAAUAAACGAAGGGCUCAAGGUCCAGGAGCCAAAACCGCAAAACCCCUAAUAUGCGUGAGGGGAGUUCUGUCCAGUUAUGGUGACGCCGAAAUAGUGGACCUCCUGAAGGCGCAGAAUAAACACCUUCUGCAAACUGUUGCUGAAGAGGACAUAACCACUCUGAAAGUCCGAUACAGGAAACGUGCGAGGAACCCACAUGAAUGCCAUCCCGUGUUGGAGCUCGCGCCGGGGCUUUGGAAAUGCCUCACUCAAGCGCAGAGGGUGCACGUGGGCAUCAAGCGGUGCACAGUAGAGGAUCAGUCCCCACUAGUGCAGUGUACAAGGUGCCUUGCAUAUGGACAUAAUAAGACAAUAUGCAAGGCUGCAAAAGAGCUCUGCAGCUACUGCAGUGGAGAACACACGGUGAGGGACUGCCGCAGCAAAGCCGAAGGCAAAGUGCCCGCUUGUAUUAACUGCAAGACGGCCCACAGGACCGGUGAAGACCUGGCACACACAGCAUUUAGCGAAGAAUGCCAGGAGCGUCAGAAAUGGGAUGGCAUAGCAAGGUCGCGCGUCUCUUAUUGCUAAGGG